rnacentral:rRNA from 1 species
UACGGAGGGUGCAAACGUUGCUCGGAAUUAUUGGGCGUAAAGCGCACGUAGGCGGCCGACUAAGUCGGGUGUGAAAGCCCAGGGCUCAACCCUGGAAGUGCACUCGAAACUGAUCGGCUUGAAUAUGGAAGAGGGUCGCGGAAUUCCCGGUGUAGAGGUGAAAUUCGUAGAUAUCGGGAGGAACACCAGUGGCGAAGGCGGCGAUCUGGGUAGAUACUGACGCUGAGGUGCGAAAGCGUGGGGAGCAAACAGG